AUUGAACGCUGGCGGCAGGCCUAACACAUGCAAGUCGAGCGGAGCGGCGGACGGGGAAGUAAUGCCUAGGAAUCAACCUGGUAGUGAGGGACACCGUCGGGAAAAGGGAGGUAAUAUCGCAUACUAGCAGAUGAGUCUAGGUCGGCUGAGCUAGUUGGUGGGGUAAAGGCCUACCAAGGCGACGAGCCGUAACUGCGCUGAGAGGAUGAUCAGUCACACUGGAACUGAGACACGGUCCCGACUCCUACGGGCGGCAGCAGUGGGGAAUAUUGGACAAUGGGCGAAAGCCUGAUCCAGCCAUGCCGCGUGUGUGAAGAAGGUCUUCGGAUUGUAAAGCACUUUAAGUUGGGAGGCGUUACCAACAGAAUAAUCACCGGCUAACUUCGUGCCAGCAGCCGCGGUAAUAC
rnacentral:rRNA from 1 species